UAACACAUGCAAGUCGAACGAGAACGGAUUUUAGUUUACUAAAAUUGUCAGCUAAGUGGCGCACGGGUGAGUAAUAUAUAGUUAACCUGCCCCAAAGAAGAGAAUAAUUGAUGGAAACGUCUUGUAACUCUCUAUAUGCCUUUAUCACAUAAGUGAGCAAGGGAAACAUUUAUGGCUUUGGGAUGGGACUGUACGGUAUCAGAUAGUUGGUGAGGUAAUGGCUCACCAAGUCAAUGACGCCUAACUGGUUUGAGAGGAUGAUCAGUCACACUGGAACUGAGACACGGUCCAGACUCCUACGGGAGGCAGCAGUGGGGAAUAUUGCACAAUGGAGGAAACUCUGAUGCAGCAACGCCGCGUGGAGGAUGACACAUUUCGGUGCGUAAACUCCUUUUAUAUGAGAAGAUAAUGACGGUAUCAUAUGAAUAAGCACCGGCUAACUCCGUGCCAGCAGCCGCGGUAAUACGGGGGGUGCAAGCGUCACUCGGAAUCACUGGGCGUAAAGAGCAUGUAGGCU
rnacentral:rRNA from 1 species